UACGUAGGGAGCAAGCGUUGUUCGGAUUUACUGGGCGUAAAGGGCUCGUAGGCGGCCAACUAAGUCGGAUGUGAAAUCCCCAGGCUUAACCUGGGAACUGCAUCCGAUACUGGAUGGCUUGAAUUCGGGAGAGGGAUGCAGAAUUCCAGGUGUAGCGGUGAAAUGCGUAGAUAUCUGGAGGAACACCGGUGGCGAAGGCGACAUCCUGGACCGGUAUUGACGCUGAGGCGCGAAAGCCAGGGGAGCAAACGGG
rnacentral:rRNA from 1 species